rnacentral:rRNA from 1 species
UACGUAGGGUGCGAGCGUUGUCCGGAAUUAUUGGGCGUAAAGAGCUCGUAGGCGGUCUGUCGCGUCUGCUGUGAAAACUCGGGGCUUAACCCCGGGCCUGCAGUGGGUACGGGCAGACUAGAGUGCGGUAGGGGAGACUGGAAUUCCUGGUGUAGCGGUGAAAUGCGCAGAUAUCAGGAGGAACACCGGUGGCGAAGGCGGGUCUCUGGACCGAUACUGACGCUGAGGAGCGAAAGCGUGGGGAGCGAACAGG